GGGCGACAGCAUGAUGAAGGCCAGGCUGAAGACCUUGCCUGAUCCGCUGAGAGGUGGUGCAAGGCCGUCGUCAGUUCGUACUGUGAAGCAUCCUGUUAAGUCAGGCAACGAGCGAGACCCACGCCCACAGUUGCCAGCGAGCCCUUCGGGGUGGCGGGUACUCUGUGGGGACCGCCGCUGCUAAAGCGGAGGAAGGAAUGGGCAACGGUAGGUCAGUAUGCCCCGAAUCUCCCGGGCUACACGCGGGCUACAAUGGUCGGUACAAUGGGUAUCUACCCCGAGAGGGGAUGGAAAUCUCCUAAAACCGGUCGUAGUUCGGAUUGAGGGCUGCAACUCGCCCUCAUGAAGCUGGAAUCCGUAGUAAUCGCGUUUCAACAGAACGCGGUGAAUACGUCCCUGCUCCUUGCACACACCGCCCGUCAAACCACCCGAGUAGGGUAUGGAUAAGGGUGCGCCAUGUUGACGCAUUCGAAUCUGGGCUUUGCAAGGGGGGUUAAGUCGUAACAAGGUAACCAAGGGCGAA
rnacentral:rRNA from 1 species